rnacentral:rRNA from 1 species
UCAGGAUGAACGCUGGCGGCGUGCCUAAUACAUGCAAGUCGAACGAGUUCUGAUUAUUGAAAGGUGCUUGCAUCUUGAUUUAAUUUUGAACGAGUGGCGGACGGGUGAGUAACACGUGGGUAACCUGCCCUUAAGUGGGGGAUAACAUUUGGAAACAGAUGCUAAUACCGCAUAAAUCCAAAAACCGCAUGGUUCUUGGCUGAAAGAUGGCGUAAGCUAUCGCUUUUGGAUGGACCCGCGGCGUAUUAGCUAGUUGGUGAGGUAACGGCUCACCAAGGCAAUGAUACGUAGCCGAACUGAGAGGUUGAUCGGCCACAUUGGGACUGAGACACGGCCCAAACUCCUACGGGAGGCAGCAGUAGGGAAUCUUCCACAAUGGACGCAAGUCUGAUGGAGCAACGCCGCGUGAGUGAAGAAGGCUUUCGGGUCGUAAAACUCUGUUGUUGGAGAAGAAUGGUCGGCAGAGUAACUGUUGUCGGCGUGACGGUAUCCAACCAGAAAGCCACGGCUAACUACGUGCCAGCAGCCGCGGUAAUACGUAGGUGGCAAGCGUUAUCCGGAUUUAUUGGGCGUAAAGCGAGCGCAGGCGGUUUUUUAAGUCUGAUGUGAAAGCCCUCGGCUUAACCGAGGAAGUGCAUCGGAUACUGGGAAACUUGAGUGCAGAAGAGGACAGUGGAACUCCAUGUGUAGCGGUGAAAUGCGUAGAUAUAUGGAAGAACACCAGUGGCGAAGGCGGCUGUCUGGUCUGUAACUGACGCUGAGGCUCGAAAGCAUGGGUAGCGAACAGGAAUUAGAUACCCUGGUAGUCCAUGCCGUAAACGAUGAAUGCUAGGUGUUGGAGGGUUUCCGCCCUUCAGUGCCGCAGCUAACGCAUUAAGCAUUCCGCCUGGGGAGUACGACCGCAAGGUUGAAACUCAAAGGAAUUGACGGGGGCCCGCACAAGCGGUGGAGCAUGUGGUUUAAUUCGAAGCAACGCGAAGAACCUUACCAGGUCUUGACAUCUUUUGAUCACCUGAGAGAUCAGGUUUCCCCUUCGGGGGCAAAAUGACAGGUGGUGCAUGGUUGUCGUCAGCUCGUGUCGUGAGAUGUUGGGUUAAGUCCCGCAACGAGCGCAACCCUUAUGACUAGUUGCCAGCAUUUAGUUGGGCACUCUAGUAAGACUGCCGGUGACAAACCGGAGGAAGGUGGGGAUGACGUCAAAUCAUCAUGCCCCUUAUGACCUGGGCUACACACGUGCUACAAUGGAUGGUAUAACGAGUUGCGAGACCGCGAGGUCAAGCUAAUCUCUUAAAGCCAUUCUCAGUUCGGACUGUAGGCUGCAACUCGCCUACACGAAGUCGGAAUCGCUAGUAAUCGCGGAUCAGCACGCCGCGGUGAAUACGUUCCCGGGCCUUGUACACACCGCCCGUCACACCAUGAGAGUUUGUAACACCCGAAGCCGGUGGCGUAACCCUUUUAGGGAGCGAGCCGUCUAAGGUGGGACAAAUGAUU